rnacentral:rRNA from 1 species
AUGGCGUCGUCACCGUGUGAAUUGGAUCGGCAGCAGCAGGGUAGGGAGAGCGAGCAGAGGCGGCCGGGCAGGCGAGGGCACACAACGGCGGCGGCUAAUUUCUGCGUACUAAUCCAGGUACUGGCUAAUCACAUGGGAACGCAACGCCAGGCCAGGAGACUCUCUAGGAGAAGCACUUCGUCUAUUCUUAGCACUGGCGGCGGUGACUCAGAUAUGAGCAAGUGGCGGUGGCAGAGGCGACGGACGCGGCAGCAGGAGCUGCUUCUCCCCUUCCUCUUGGCCACCAUCUGGUCCUCCUCAACUCAGCCAUGCCACCCCCCUUCCUCGUCGUCGUCUCCGAAGCCGGCAAGGUGUAGGAUCUAUUUCUCCAUCACCUCAACCCCAAUGCUGCGGAGAAUCUUCCCAGACAGUCGACGAUGGAGCCAAGUGGCGGGGUGCGCACGGUUCCAUUUCUGCGCGAGAGUUUGGCUUGAGUUCUUUUAUCCUCCUGGGAAGCUCGCCGAUCUCGAAAGUUGGCCUCGAUCUCGUGGGUUAUUUUUGCAACUCAGAGGAUUCCCUGCCCGAGGCGAGCUUAGGGUCCCAUGCCCAUUUGGUGGACUGAGCCAAUAUCCGUUGCCGAGCGGGAGCGGGUCGACCCUUUACUUUGUCAAGUCCAAACUCUCCGCAGCUUGUUCAAGAUUCCUUACACUUCAACGCCGCGUCCGCGCGAUAUGCGAGAUAUCCAUGCCCGCAGAUACCUAUAGCACUUACUCUGCAGCAUGCACAACGGUGGCGGCCGAAGAGGCGGAUACCUUCCUCCUCUCGGAGCCGGCGGGAGAGGACGAAGGGGACCCGAGCCCCAAUCAUGUCCAGCCUCUGCGGUAUGGGUACGGGUGGAGCCUCCCCAUACCCUUACCCGUCCACCCUGAACUUACCUAUCACCCAUCCCCAUACCCAUCAAUGAACAGUGGCAGCAAAGGAGUGUCGGGAAGCACCAAGCUGUUGAUAUGUCUGUGGCUGCUGGCGCUAUUUGUCCGGUCAUCUGAUGCAGAAGAGGUGGGACUGAAAGGCUGUGAGUUCAAUGACUGGAGCAAGAAGUGGAAAGGGAUAUGCGUGAUACGUGGCACUUGCAGCAAGGCCUGCAGAGCCGAGGGCUGGGAAAAAGGAACCUGCUUAUACAUCAAUCACUGCCUCUGCUUCAAGAACUGCUCCCCGUCCCCGGCUACUUGA